rnacentral:misc_RNA from 1 species
GAUGAAGAACGCAGCGAAAUGCGAUAAGUAAUGUGAAUUGCAGAAUUCAGUGAAUCAUCGAGUCUUUGAACGCACAUUGCGCCCCCUGGUAUUCCGGGGGGCAUGCCUGUCCGAGCGUCAUUGCUGCCCUCAAGCACGGCUUGUGUGUUGGGCCGCCGUCCCCGGUUUCCCCCGGGGACGGGCCCGAAAGGCAGCGGCGGCACCGCGUCCGAUCCUCGAGCGUAUGGGGCUUUGUCACCCGCUCUGUAGCCCCGGCCGGCGCCAGCCGACACCCAACUUUAUUUCUAAGGUUGACCUCGGAUCAGGUAGGGAUACCCGCUGAACUUAAGCAUAUCAAUAAGCGGAGGA